UUUAGUAAAUUAUUUUAACUUUUUCGCCAAAACAGACGCGCCAAAAUAGGUUUUCCAUCUUCUAUUACUUUUUCCCCAAUUCAUAGCGCCUAGUUUCCACUCCAUCUAGGUUUUCUUUUUUUUUAUUAUUCUGCUAAACUAAGGUCUUGCAUCUGGCGGGUUCAAUCUUCGAUCCCUUCCGCUGAGUUAUACCCAAAACCUGAUUUGGGCUACUCGGAGUUGGAUAUUCGUGGGAAGAGCGUGAUAUCGGAUUGAUUUGAGCUUGGUUUGAGAUCCAGGUUCUUCUUCUCAGCCAUACUUCCAGUGAGACGAGGCAUUCUAGAGACUUCGAGGUAUAUCUGCCGCGUCCGCAGACCUAGAAGUCCCUCUCUAUUCUCCCUUCAGUUAUAGACUUCCUGUAUUUUCUUCGUUAUUAGACUUCUUGAGUUAGAAAUAUUACGUACUUCUUUAGCUUGUGAUUCAUGAGAUUCCGGGUUUUGGGAGUGCUAUGUUCAGUUCGAAAGUGAUAUUAUUGUA